AUCAUUUAAAGAAAGCGUAAUAGCUCACUGGUCGAGUCGGCCUGCGCGGAAGAUGUAACGGGGCUAAACCAUGCACCGAAGCUGCGGCAGCGACGCUUAUGCGUUGUUGGGUAGGGGAGCGUUCUGUAAGCCUGUGAAGGUGUGCUGUGAGGUAUGCUGGAGGUAUCAGAAGUGCGAAUGCUGACAUAAGUAACGAUAAAGCGGGUGAAAAGCCCGCUCGCCGGAAGACCAAGGGUUCCUGUCCAACGUUAAUCGGGGCAGGGUGAGUCGACCCCUAAGGCGAGGCCGAAAGGCGUAGUCGAUGGGAAACAGGUUAAUAUUCCUGUACUUGGUGUUACUGCGAAGGGGGGACGGAGAAGGCUAUGUUGGCCGGGCGACGGUUGUCCCGGUUUAAGCGUGUAGGCUGGUUUUCCAGGCAAAUCCGGAAAAUCAAGGCCGAGGCGUGAUGACGAGGCACUACGGUGCUGAAGCAACAAAUGCCCUGCUUCCAGGAAAAGCCUCUAAGCAUCAGGUAACAUCAAAUCGUACCCCAAACCGACACAGGUGGUCAGGUAGAGAAUACCAAGGCGCUUGAGAGAACUCGGGUGAAGGAACUAGGCAAAAUGGUGCCGUAACUUCGGGAGAAGGCACGCUGAUACGUAGGUGAAGCGACUUGCUCGUGGAGCUGAAAUCAGUCGAAGAUACCAGCUGGCUGCAACUGUUUAUUAAAAACACAGCACUGUGCAAACACGAAAGUGGACGUAUACGGUGUGACGCCUGCCCGGUGCCGGAAGGUUAAUUGAUGGGGUUAGCGCAAGCGAAGCUCUUGAUCGAAGCCCCGGUAAACGGCGGCCGUAACUAUAACGGUCCUAAGGUAGCGAAAUUCCUUGUCGGGUAAGUUCCGACCUGCACGAAUGGCGUAAUGAUGGCCAGGCUGUCUCCACCCGAGACUCAGUGAAAUUGAACUCGCUGUGAAGAUGCAGUGUACCCGCGGCAAGACGGAAAGACCCCGUGAACCUUUACUAUAGCUUGACACUGAACAUUGAGCCUUGAUGUGUAGGAUAGGUGGGAGGCUUUGAAGUGUGGACGCCAGUCUGCAUGGAGCCGACCUUGAAAUACCACCCUUUAAUGUUUGAUGUUCUAACGUGGACCCGUGAUCCGGGUUGCGGACAGUGUCUGGUGGGUAGUUUGACUGGGGCGGUCUCCUCCUAAAGAGUAACGGAGGAGCACGAAGGUUGGCUAAUCCUGGUCGGACAUCAGGAGGUUAGUGCAAUGGCAUAAGCCAGCUUGACUGCGAGCGUGACGGCGCGAGCAGGUGCGAAAGCAGGUCAUAGUGAUCCGGUGGUUCUGAAUGGAAGGGCCAUCGCUCAACGGAUAAAAGGUACUCCGGGGAUAACAGGCUGAUACCGCCCAAGAGUUCAUAUCGACGGCGGUGUUUGGCACCUCGAUGUCGGCUCAUCACAUCCUGGGGCUGAAGUAGGUCCCAAGGGUAUGGCUGUUCGCCAUUUAAAGUGGUACGCGAGCUGGGUUUAGAACGUCGUGAGACAGUUCGGUCCCUAUCUGCCGUGGGCGCUGGAGAACUGAGGGGGGCUGCUCCUAGUACGAGAGGACCGGAGUGGACGCAUCACUGGUGUUCGGGUUGUCAUGCCAAUGGCACUGCCCGGUAGCUAAAUGCGGAAGAGAUAAGUGCUGAAAGCAUCUAAGCACGAAACUUGCCCCGAGAUGAGUUCUCCCUGACCCUUUAAGGGUCCUGAAGGAACGUUGAAGACGACGACGUUGAUAGGCCGGGUGUGUAAGCGCAGCGAUGCGUUGAGCUAACCGGUACUAAUGAACCGUGAGGCUUAACCUU
rnacentral:rRNA from 2 species